UGUUAUGGCGGCUGUGUGCGGGACACCUUCGGGUGUGCCGGUGUCGUUGUAGCCGGUCGGCCAACCCUCGCACAGCUGCCACCCUC
ncrna:Pseudomonas fluorescens Pf-5 C4 antisense RNA